rnacentral:misc_RNA from 1 species
UUAAAUUCAGGGGGUCUUCCCACUUCAUCUGAGGUCUAAUUCAUAGUUGCACAGAGCCAUUUGCCUUAAUCGCACACAUUUCUGUGCGCUUUCAGGUUCACAACUUUGUACAGUUUGUUUCGAGUGGCUACAAGACAGGGGUCAGUGGUUGUGAAUUCACAGUUAAGUGAAAGCAACUUGCCACGAACACACACAGUCGU